rnacentral:lncRNA from 11 species
GGAUAAGUGAUUUAAUUCUGGGAACAGAAAUACAAAGAGGAAAAUGUUUCACGCUGCAACUUGAUUCACGAGACCUCCUUCCAGUAAGAUAUGAUAAACAUGGACACCUGAGAAGAAGGUAUAAAGAUAUAAAAAGAAACAAGGCAAUGACAUCUUGUAAUCCCAAUAAAACAGUAGGAA